rnacentral:rRNA from 1 species
UUGGUAAAUCUCGUGCCAGCCACCGCGGUUAUACGAGUGGCUCACAUUAAUAUUCCUCGGCGUAAAGGGUGAUUAAAAGAUGAUCUCUAACAACUAAAGUUUAGACCUCAUAAAGCUGUUAUACGCACCCAUGAAUGAAAUAAACAACAACGAAAGUGACUUUAUAUAUUAAGAAAUCCUUGACGUCACGACAGUUGGGACC